AUGAACGCUGGCGGCGUGCUUAACACAUGCAAGUCGAACGAUUAAAGCUCACUUCGGUGAGUGCAUAGAGUGGCGAACGGGUGAGUAACACGUGGGAAACCUGCCCCUUUCUUCGGGAUAACUUCGGGAAACCGUUGCUAAUACCGGAUACUCCGGGAUGGUCGCAUGGCCGACCCGGGAAAGCUUUAUGUGGAAAGGGAUGGUCCCGCGGCCCAUUAGCUUGUUGGUGGGGUAAUGGCCUACCAAGGCGAUGAUGGGUAGCCG
rnacentral:rRNA from 1 species